GAUAGUGGCGGAGGGUGAGUAACACGUGGGAACGUGCCCUUUGGUUCGGAACAACUCAGGGAAACCUGAGCUAAUACCGGAUGUGCCCUUCGGGGGAAAGAUUUAUCGCCAUUGGAGCGGCCCGCGUCUGAUUAGCUAGUUGGUGGGGUAAAGGCCCACCAAGGCGACGAUCAGUAGCUGGUCUGAGAGGAUGAUCAGCCACAUUGGGACUGAGACACGGCCCAAACUCCUACGGGAGGCAGCAGUGGGGAAUCUUGCGCAAUGGGCGAAAGCCUGACGCAGCCAUGCCGCGUGAAUGAUGAAGGUCUUAGGAUUGUAAAAUUCUUUCACCGGGGACGAUAAUGACGGUACCCGGAGAAGAAGCCCCGGCUAACUUCGUGCCAGCAGCCGCGGUAAUACGAAGGGGGCUAGCGUUGCUCGGAAUUACUGGGCGUAAAGGGAGCGUAGGCGGACUGUUAAGUUAGAGGUGAAAGCCCAGGGCUCAACCUUGGAAUUGCCUUUGAUACUGGCAGUCUUGAGUACGGAAGAGGUAUGUGGAACUCCGAGUGUAGAGGUGAAAUUCGUAGAUAUUCGGAAGAACACCAGUGGCGAAGGCGACAUACUGGUCCGUUACUGACGCUGAGGCUCGAAAGCGUGGGGAGCAAACAGGAUUAGAUACCCUGGUAGUCCACGCCGUAAACGAUGAGUGCUAGUUGUCGGCAUGCAUGCAUGUCGGUGACGCAGCUAACGCAUUAAGCACUCCGCCUGGGGAGUACGGUCGCAAGAUUAAAACUCAAAGGAAUUGACGGGGGCCCGCACAAGCGGUGGAGCAUGUGGUUUAAUUCGAAGCAACGCGCAGAACCUUACCACCUUUUGACAUGCCUGGACCGCCACAGAGAUGUGGUUUUCCCUUCGGGGACUGGGACACAGGUGCUGCAUGGCUGUCGUCAGCUCGUGUCCUGAGAUGUUGGGUUAAGUCCCGCAACGAGCGCAACCCUCGCGAUUAGUGCCAUCAGGUUUGGCUGGGCAC
rnacentral:rRNA from 1 species